UAGGGCACAAAUACUCGGCGUUAAUUUCGACCGGGGUCUCAAAAGAGAAAGAGGUGCGCACUCCGAUCUCUAAACAUCCGAAUCGGAGCUCCCAUUGAGAGGCUCGACGAUGCUGAGACAUGGGCCUCACCGAGCUCGCCUCAAUAUUUAAUCGAAGCAGAACGGGCCUGAUACGGCCAAGAAAAGGCCCGAAUCGUUAUUACGCCGGAAGAAGUGGCUGCUGUUAAUCAUAGCGCCGCGGAAGAAAGAAUCUGAUUGGCCUAGUUACUUAGCGCAAAAGGCAGCGCUCAGCUAAGAGAGUAAUUGCCGAACGAUGUGAGCUCAUUAUUGCGAAUGCCGUUGGACACGCGAGUUCAUCGCCGUGCGAAGUGCCGUGGUGAAUGCCGGACAACGCCCCAGAAGGGAGGCCACGGAGGCCACUGAUGAAGACCGAAAGUACAGGACUUGGCUGUCGAUUUAUAGAUUGGAGGACAACCGUCGAGCAGAGUCAGCGACCGAGUUCGUCGAGUUGGUCAACACACCUCCUCGAUCCUCCUCGGGUUGGGGGAGUUGUGACGUGACACUUUUCCCGUCACAGGGGAAAUGCAUUUCCGGCCGGCGCAGGAGACGGUGAGCUCGCGUUUCCGAAUAUUUAUAAGGAGGAGCAGCUCAUUAGAUCGCGUAGCGCUAGCGAAACAUUGAGCAGAUCGUUGCCAUCGGGGUUUUGCGACAUUUUUGUAGUAUCGUUGCGUAUCGUGCGGGACGCUUGGCGGCUGUUUUGUGAUUGAUUUUCAACGCGAAGAAAGAGGACACACUUUACGUAUUUGGCGGAUAGAAGCGAGCAAAGAAGACAGAAGAGGAGGAUAGCGAGAGAGGCAUGAGCGUGAGGUAUCAAGGGCACAAAUACUCGGCGCGUUAAUUUCGAUCGUCUCGAAAGAGAAAGAGGUGCGCACUCCGAUCUCUAAACAUCCGAAUCGGAGCUCCCGUUGACAGGCUCGGCGAUGCUGAGACAUGGGCCUCACCGAGCUCGCCUCAAUAUUUAAUCGAAGCAGAACGGGCCUGAUACGGCCAAGAAAAGGCCCGAAUCGUUAUUACGCCCUAAGAUGUGGCUGCUGUUAAUCAUAGCGCCGCGGAAGAAAGAAUCUGAUUGACCUAGGUACCUAGUGAAAAGAGCAGCGCUCAGCGAAAAGAGCAAUUGCCGAACGAUGUGAGCUCAUUCUUGCGAGUGCCAUCGGACACGCGAGUUCGUCACCGUGCAAAGUGUUGGUGAAUGCAGGACAACACUCGAGAAAGGCCACCGAUAAAGACCGAAAGGACAGGAUUUGGCUGUCGAUUUAUAGAUUGGAGGACAACCAUCGAGCGUAAUGUGGCUGUUACUCUCUCUCUCGCCUAUUUCGCGGUUCUAUCUCGUUCUAUAUUAGCAAAUCGAGUCUCGUCGGACCAUCCCGCGAGCUCGAUAUUAUUGCCAAAGAAUUAAUAUAUUGCGUAUUGCGUUCAUUUUUUAUGUUAAUCGAAUUGAUAUUAAUUAGUGAGAAUUCUUUGCCGCUGUCUUCCGCCUUCCGUUAGGCUAAUAUUACAUUUGUCGUACGACAAAGAUUUUAAGUAUGUUGAUUGGCUAUCAGAUAGAGUUUCAUAAACAACUGUAUUUGAUAGCCAAUCAAUAUACUUAAAAUCUCUUUGUCGUACGACAAAUGUAAUACUGGCUUUACGUUCGCAACAAUCCGGGUUCUGUUAUCAUCCGUUAUAGUGCAUCAUUCUGUGCGUUCUUGUUUUUGUCUUGUUUUGUAUCGAAACCGUACGUCUAUCGCGUUCUCGGCUGUAAUAUCGAAUUCAUGUAAAAUAACGUUAUCCUUGCCGAAAAAUCGCGACCGUGUGUCUAAUACGUGUCCGAUCGGAGUUUACCGUAAUACAAGUGAGAAUUGUCGAAGAUUCGUGCUACGGAAUUAGCGUAGUCAUCCGUCACUAUUGUUUUGUCCCGCAAUCGAUUAAUUAUUGGUCACCGGGAUGUAAGCGCGCGCGAACAAGUCUUUCUCCGCGGUCGCCUAUCCAUGGUCGCAUCGAUCAUCGCGCUUACGUGUCGCAUAUUCUAGCGCAUUUGUAUCAUCUCGCGAUCACCUUAUAGCGACUAUUUUGUGAUGUUCGGACAUGUGCGUUUCGUCACCGUUCGUAAUAACUGACUUUAUAUCGUCACUCCCUACGUAUAAUUAACAUAAGUGUCACAUAUGGGAUUUUCAGUUUAUUGCAUAGUGACACU